rnacentral:rRNA from 1 species
GAUGAACGCUGGCGGCGUGCCUAAUACAUGCAAGUCGAGCGAACGGACGAGAAGCUUGCUUCUCUGAUGUUAGCGGCGGACGGGUGAGUAACACGUGGAUAACCUACCUAUAAGACUGGGAUAACUUCGGGAAACCGGAGCUAAUACCGGAUAAUAUUUUGAACCGCAUGGUUCAAAAGUGAAAGACGGUCUUGCUGUCGGUGAUAGAUGGAUCCGCGCUGCAUUAGCUAGUUGGUGGGGUAACGGCUUACCAAGGCAACGACGGGUAGCCGGCCUGAGAGGGUGACCGGCCACAUGGGGACGGAGAUACGGCCCAGACUCCUACGGGAGGCAGCAGUGGGGAAUAUUGCACAAUGGGCGGAAGCCUGAGGCAGCAACGCCGCGUGCGGGAUGAAGGCCUGCGGGUUGUAAACCGCUUGCGCCUGUGAUGAAGCGUGAUUGACGGUAAUGGGUAAAGAAGCACCGGCUAACUACGUG